rnacentral:rRNA from 2 species
ACGGAGGCGCUCAAAGGUUCCCUCAGAAUGGUUGGAAAUCAUUCAUAGAGUGUAAAGGCAUAAGGGAGCUUGACUGCGAGACCUACAAGUCGAGCAGGGUCGAAAGACGGACUUAGUGAUCCGGUGGUUCCGCAUGGAAGGGCCAUCGCUCAACGGAUAAAAGCUACCCCGGGGAUAACAGGCUUAUCUCCCCCAAGAGUUCACAUCGACGGGGAGGUUUGGCACCUCGAUGUCGGCUCAUCGCAUCCUGGGGCUGUAGUCGGUCCCAAGGGUUGGGCUGUUCGCCCAUUAAAGCGGUACGCGAGCUGGGUUCAGAACGUCGUGAGACAGUUCGGUCCCUAUCCGUCGUGGGCGUAGGAAAUUUGAGAGGAGCUGUCCUUAGUACGAGAGGACCGGGAUGGACAUACCUCUGGUGUACCAGUUGUCGUGCCAACGGCAUAGCUGGGUAGCUAUGUGUGGACGGGAUAAGUGCUGAAAGCAUCUAAGCAUGAAGCCCCCCUCAAGAUGAGAUUUCCCAACUUCGGUUAUAAGAUCCCUCAAAGAUGAUGAGGUUAAUAGGUUCGAGGUGGAAGCAUGGUGACAUGUGGAGCUGACGAAUACUAAUCGAUCGAAGACUUAAUCAAAA